AGUGUACCUAAUAUCUUGGGGCUACCACCUGCAUAUGAUGCAGAUACUUUGUUUAUUACAACAGAAAAUCAAUCUUGCGGGUUAUCCCAUCAGGCAUUUCACCUCCUUGAUUCAGAACAGGAAACCAACUGAUGUUUGUUGGAAUGCUGUACCUAUUUUCUUAUAGCCAUCGAACUCAAUAUUUAUGUUUUUAUACAAACGUAUAUACUUUUAUACCUGAUACAUGUUUAGGGAGUACAUGCAACUGACGUUCAAGAAAAAGAAAGUAUUUUCAUGUAUUUUUUUGGCAAGGCCUUCAUUUAUACUUAUGUACUGUUAUAAAUGACAUCUGAGAUAAAGAAUGAACAUUUGAGUAUUACCAGGUGAUAAAGAAGCAUUUCCAUAGUGGAAUGUCUCGCUGCGGAGGAGCGGGGUCACUCUGAGCGGGAUCAUAAGAUUAUCCUCAGAAAUGAAGGAUCAAUUGCUGUUUCUAUUAUGCUAGAGUUCUCGAAUUUACUAUAGGUAGUAUUUUCCAAUUUGUUGGCCUUCGUACGGCAGUUUGAUUUUGUUUCUUCUUCCCAAACGUUCAGAUAUUAGUACGUUUACACAAUCGAACUCAAAAUAUUUUCGCUUGUGUACUGAUGGCAGUACAUCAUUGGAAUUGCAGAGUAUGACUCAGACAACAAACCAUUCCAAGAGACAGUUAAACCAAUGGUAGAUGGUGGAACAGAAGGUUUAGAAGGUUAUGCUAGAGUCAUUAUGCCAAGGAUAACACCUUGUUUUGAGCGCAACAUAUGGAUUUUCUCUCCCUAUAUCAAGUUUCCAUUAUGUACCUUCGCCAAGACUCAGAGUACUGCUGCUCAUUGCAUUGAGUAUGCUCGUUUCAUCAAAUGGGACAAGAACAUAUGCAGUGGAUUUAUUCAGAGGUUUGUUUUACUGUUAUGACAUGUAAUUUAGGCCAAUGCGCUCAAGAUUCUGGACGCCGAGGCCGCCAAGUGAAGUUGGCCGACUCACUUUUCGCCAAUUGACAUGGCAGCUCCCGCCAUUGGCAGCGGCGCGGUCUUCCCACAAGAAAGCUCCCUCUAUUUUCUCCAUCAGCUUCAGGAUUUUUUUGGGCGGUGCCAACACCAGAAAUUGGUGGAUUGGGAUCGCACCAAAUACAGACUUCACCAGAGCCAACCUCCCUGGUUUUUGCAUCAAUCUCGAUUUCCAGAUCAUUGCCUCACAUGGAGCUGAACCAUCUGUCCGCAAUGUCAUCGCCAAGGUCAGAGACGAAGCUGCCCUUUGGUUCAGAGCUGGCGCGUCGAGUCUGUGUCCUCCUGCCGCCCACCUGGGAUGUCCACUGAGUUGUUGGAUUGAGGUAGAGCGUGGUCACCGACUACCGGAGGUGUUGCAAAAUGGGUCUGCUGGCUGAUACGGAGAAGCAAGGCAAGGUGAUGCCAUUGCCACAAACUGAUUUCUUUCCUGGUUUCCCAAGAAAUUCUGUUAUGCUUUUCUAAAACAGUGCAAUUGGUUUCCUUAUAUUUUGAUAUAUGUCGGUCAAUUUUUCCUAAAUAUAUUUAAUAAAUGCAGCAUAGUGGUGUUGAUGGCAAUCUUCCUUGAUUCACUACUGUGUUUAAACAUAUAUAAUCCAUUGAUCUUGGUUCUUAUCUUCUCCAUUGAGCCAUAUUUGUCGCAAUAGUGGAUCCAAGUACUUUUUUUACUUAGAUAUGUGCUCUCACCGCAUUGGUUAAAUAGGGUUAUCGGGUUGACCUAGAAGAACACAUCAUUUCGUAUAUUGCUUUGCGGUAAACAAACUAGAAUUAUAUGAUUACCUCACAAAAAGCUUUUCCGCAGACAUAAAUGUAUGUGUUGAUCCGAUGAAAUUAAAUAUUUAUCUGACCAUGGAAUAUUUUUAUUUUAAGUGUGCGAUGUAAGAGUUUUUUGAUGGUCUUCUAUCUAGGUUAGCCGAACUUGAUUCACUUGAAGUAAUUUUUCCCCUCUCUUGAGUGUUUUGUCUUCUCAUGUCUACUGAACCACUUGCAUUUUUUAUAUUAUUUGAAGAAGCUUUACAUAUUUAUCCACCUAAGGUUGGACAUGCUACCACAAACUUUGAUAGUUAUUAUUAUUAUUUAGCAAGUGUUAUUUAGAUACCUAUAGCUGAAUCUCUUCUCUUUUUUUCUAGGUUUUGGUGCAUGGAUCAGUAGAAGCUUUUAAUAAGUACAUUUUAAAUACAUUGGGCAAAUACUUCAGACUUGCUUAUUUAUGGUCCUCGUGUAUAAGGAAAAAUGAUGUAGCAUCAGAUUUAUGUGCUUACUAGGUUUGUUUGUUCAUUCUGGAGCUUUUUUAAUUCUCAGAAAAAAUAUUGUGUUAAUUCUUACCUAUUGGAUUUGAUAAGAUAAGAGCUAAUAUUUAAUAGCUAUCGACUUAUCAUUGCCGGUCACUUUUACCACUUCUCUGUCAUGAUUCAAUGUGCACUCAAAAAAGACUUGGCUGAAAUAAUGAAAUGGAAGAUAUACACUCUGCUCUGCUCAAUCUUUCACACCGGAUCCUUUUUUUAAAUGCUAUACUAUUUGCUUCCUAUUUAUAGGUAUUUGGUUCAAGUGGGCAAGAUUAACUUUUUGUUUUCAUCAUCUACUGCAGGGAAAGAGCAGCUUAUGCACAAAAGGUGUAUAUCUUAUGCUUUUUACUAUAUUGUGGUUGCACACUGCCACUGAACUUUUUAGUCUUUUGGAUCUAUUUGUAUAUUUAUAUGUUGUUUUUCGGCCACAACACCCGAACAACAGAAUGGUUUUGCCCAUACCAUUUGAUUGAACACCUAUUUUGGUACAUUUGGUUCGCGGCAUUGCUUUGUGAAACUUAAGAAAUGUAAUAUCAUAUAAGCAGAUUUU